rnacentral:snRNA from 1 species
AGCUCUGUGCAGUGGCAGUAUUGUAGCCAGUGAGGUUUAUACAAGGUGCGAUUGUUGCUAAUUGAAAAAUAAAUGGGACUGUUUUGUGCAACAUAGAGAAUUUUGCUAUGUAAGAAAUCCAGAGGGCAAUAUAACAAGGGACUAGUUAC